GGGCAAGUCUCAUACGACCAGCUCCUGUUGAAUCCCCCAGGAUGGGAACGUAGCAAGGGUAAACGGUUGUAGCGGUGCGAUAUGAGUAGCUUGCCCUUU
rnacentral:SRP_RNA from 1 species